GGGGAAUAUUGCACAAUGGGCGCAAGCCUGAUGCAGCGACGCCGCGUGAGGGAUGACGGCCUUCGGGUUGUAAACCUCUUUCACCAGGGACGAAGCGUGAGUGACGGUACCUGGAGAAGAAGCACCGGCCAACUACGUGCCAGCAGCCGCGGUAAUACGUAGGGUGCGAGCGUUGUCCGGAAUUACUGGGCGUAAAGAGCUCGUAGGCGGUUUGUCGCGUCGUCUGUGAAAUUCUGCAACUCAAUUGUAGGCGUGCAGGCGAUACGGGCAGGCUUGAGUACUACAGGGGAGACUGGAAUUCCUGGUGUAGCGGUGAAAUGCGCAGAUAUCAGGAGGAACACCGGUGGCGAAGGCGGGUCUCUGGGUAGUAACUGACGCUGAGGAGCGAAAGCGUGGGGAGCGAAC
rnacentral:rRNA from 1 species